GGCAAACCUUUGAACCUUCUCCAAUUUAGUCUUGUGCUUGAAGAGAUAUGGACUCCAUGGUGGAGCUGCAUACUCCAGGAUUAGUUAGGCAUAUGUGGUUUACAAGGUUUUGAAUGACACCUCACACAAGUUUCUAAAGGCCAGUCGCGGCUCGCAUAUACUCGCGUUUGUGGUACUCAGGUUGCAGUUUUCUAUCCAAAAUGACCCCUGGAUCUCUCUCUUUUCAGAAUUAUUUAAAGUUUUUUCACAUAAUUUGUAGGUUGUGUGUGUGUGUGGCCUAUUAUCUCUUAUGCCACAUUCUAUAACAUGGCAUUUAUUCAUAUUAAAUUCCAUUUGCUAAGUGUUACUCCAUACACUUUGUCUAGGUUUUUGUAAGGACCUGGGGUACCAGGUCACAAAUAGCUGACUCCUGGGUACCUAUUUAUUGCUCAGUGGACAGGGGCAUUAGGUGAUAGGAAACACACCCAGUUAUUUCUGUCCUUCCCGGAACAGCAUUCUCGAGAACCUGAAAUUCUCGAUUGUGAUUCGAGAACGAACCCAACUGUACUAAGGGGAUCCUCAUAAUGUACAGUGACACCCCGGCUUACGAAUGCCCAUAUUUAUGAACUUUUCAGGUUACGAGCCAAAUUUCUUCAUAAAAUGUGAAUCAGGUGACGAGCUUUGCCUUGGGUAAAGUAGUUGGUUGAUACGCGUAUGGGCGACCUAACACGUGGUUCCUGGUGGCACCGUAACCCGCGCUUCAGUUUACCAGUGCCUCCCGCCUAGUGACGAUCGCGUUAGAAUUCUUUAUAAAGAAUUUAAUUGUUCGGCUUUUUGGGGUUUUGAAUAAAAAUACAGCAUUGUAAACAUUAUAUAUCAUGCCAUCCACCCUUGUCACAGCCCUUGUGGAUUUGUUCAAGGGUAAGCAAUAAUUUGCACAUACAGUACUGUACUUUAGUACUGAAGAUUUGGGUGAAUUAGGUAUGAAAUUGACUUUGAAGUUAAUUUUUUGGGGAGUGUGGAAUGGAUUAAUUCAAUUUGCAUUAUUUUUUAUGGGAAAAUUCACUUUAGUUUACGAAUUUUCGGCUUACGAACCGUUUCUGGGAUCGGAUUAAAUUCGAAAGCUGAGGUACCACUGUACAUUACAGUAUAUCAUGAUAUGGGUGUGGUAGGUUGAACUGAACUGUGUACUAAAAGCAGUGUUGAGUGUAUUGAAAUGUCCCUCACCGUCUUUCAUACGUCAACAAGUCAUCAAUAAAGAUAAGCUAUAACUUGCGCAUACUAGUACUAUAGUACUAAAUAUUUAUGUGAAUUAGGUAUGAAAAGUAUUUUGAAGUUAAUAUUUUUAGGAGUGUGGAACUGAUUAAUUCAAUUUACAUUAUUUCUUAUGGGAAAAAUUGUUUCGGGUUGCGAAUUUUCAGGUCAUGGGUCGUCUCUGAGAACAUAUUAAAUUAGUAAACAGAGGGGGGGCCAUUGUACAUGCAUAAUACUGUAUAUGAAUAAUAUACCAUGCAUGCUAUCCACUCAAGUUAUGAAACACUUCUGAUCAAGAAAGUGAAUGCUCUUUACCAUUUACAGAGCCUGUAGUACAGUGGUCUUCAUCAUCGACUUAGUCGAAGCAUCUUGGGUUCAAUUUCCAAGCCUGACAGAAAUGGUUGGGCAUGUUUCUCUUCACCUUACACAUCUGUUCACCUUGCAGUAAAUAGAUACAUGAAUGUUAGGCAACCGUUGUGUGUUGCACCCUGGGGGAGGUCAGUAGUUGGCUCAUAGGCACUUUAGUAAACAAUGUAAAUUAUUUUAUCAAUUUCUCAUACAUGCAUAAUAUCUUCUCAAAUUAUGAAGCAAUUCUGCUCAAGAAAGUGAACUCUCUAUAGCAGUGGUUUCCAGUUGGUGAACCACAGUUGUAUUCAAAUUCUCAGUAUAUCUAAAUCACUGAGGCUUAGUGGUAAGUGGUGAAUGUCCUGAUUAGGCAAGGUUUAAAAUAAUUUUCUUUAACUUGACACACUUUAUGAAAGUGUGUCAAGGGUCCCAGGUCUUUUGAGUACAGUAUUAGAAAUGGUGCUGUUUUCAAAAGGCUGGGAACCAUAGCUCUGUAGUACUCAAAAAGCAUGCCAACAGUCAUAAUUUUCAUAGAAUUUACAUUUAUUAAACAAAUUUCCCACAGAAACAUGUGCUGUUAGAUCAGAUAGAGAGCUGUACACCUGAAGAAGAGCAUUGAAAACUACGCUGAAUCUCUCUCUCCAAAUCGGACAUUAUACAGUACACUCAUACCUGGAAAGUCUGUCAGAGCCCAGAUUGGCAGUACGGCGACCCCUGAGGACAUAAUGGAUGGAGGAGGGAAAUCAGAGUUAAAAUUGCAUUAGAUGCCUUCAAGUCAGCAUUUAUGUAAGGUAUUGAAAGUAUUUACAUUUCAUUAGUUAUCAGGUAGCUGUAAGUCUAUCCUCAAAGUGAAGUCAGCAAGGUGAUUGGAAAGGCAUUUAAAUGUAAUAUUAGGUACAGUUUAGCUUGGCAAAGUAAUUUAUAAUACUAGGUAUAGAAAUCAGUAAGACUUCAAUAAAUCAUGGCAAUGAGGAAGACACUUCUGGUAAUUCCAAUACCAGCCUUAGCCACAAGAAAAGCUUAGUAGCUUUGAACUUUCUGAACUUGCAUAGUUUAAAGUUGGUUGCCUUAUGACAGGGCACCACACUCAGAGGCUCAGCCAAGCCCAAGUAGGGUGCCCUGUCAUAAGGCAAUCAACUUCAAACUAUGGCUUCUCAAAGAGGCUAUGCAAAUUCAGAAUGUUCAAAGCUGCUAAGCUAUUCAUGUCAAAGGCUGGUAUCAGAAUCACUAUGGUGUAAAAGAGAUUGUGAAAUAAAAAAGAUAUACAU